AUAAAUCGUGGUUCACACUGCACCCUCUUCGUACGCUCUCAUCCAACGUCCUACAUUCGAGUCUUCUCUCUUCAUCUCAUGUGUUACCUCUUCGUAGCACAGACGUUACGGCUCCCGAUCUUCUUCUCUAAUAUUAGGGAUCCUGAUCUUCAUUGUUAUUGAUUAUUUGCACCACUCAAGCCCUUUCGUGAAUCUCAUUCAUACCCAUCAAUCAAUUCUUCAUAGUACGUUACAAAUGUCCACCUACUAAACUCUAAUAGAGCUCAUCAUCUUCCCAUGUUUCUUACGCCCCUCUCAAGAGCAUUAGCUAACUAAUAAUUAUUUUUGAGUUUCCCAACUCUAAUUUUCGGGUUUCUCUUUCAAUCACACGGGCCAUAGAUCAACUUCAUAUUUCCAAGUUAUUUUCUUUGUUUUAUUUCAGAUGAAAAAAGGUGUCAUCCAUCUCGCAUCCAUCUCAGUUCAUCUGUAGAAAAUAGGGCGCCCGGAUUACAGUCAUCCCUUCCAAACUCCCCGUAACAGCCGAAUACAAAGCUUUCUCGCAUAUAGGCGAGGCAGAAGAAGGCAAACUUUGGACCACACGCGUUAGGAUCAUUAGGAAGUGGAAUGAAUUGCAGUUCAUGGAGACCAACAAGGUCACGAGCCUGUACAUCUUCAUGCUAGAUGACAAUGGGGAUGAACUUCAUGGGGUGGUUCCCAAGAAGUUAAUUUGGAAGUCUGAUCUGUUACUUCAUGUUGGAAGAAUAUAUUCCCUGAGGAGGUUCACUAUUCUAGGAGAGAAAAAGAUAUUUACCCAGCUCAUAAUGAACAUCGCCUAUUCUUCAACUGGGUUACAAAGGUGACUUAUAUAUUUGGCACUCAAGUUGAAAUUCCUCAUCACAAGUUCACUUUUAUCCCUUUCAAAGAUCUGGAGUCACAUUCAGCCAACACCCAUAUAACACGGAUAUUGUGGGUUUCCACUAAGGUGUUCUUCAACCUUUCCAUUCCUGAGGUGCUUGACAUUAAAGAAAGGUAUACCAUCAUUGUGUAUACUCCUCCACAUACAGAAAUGAAUCUCAGUUAUAAACCAGGUAUGGUUUGUUGAGGAAAAUAACAUCGUCGCUUCUCUUAUGGAUUCAUUAGAACCGAAAGCAAAGGUAUCGUAUUGAAGUAUUUAACCAAUUUUCUAAAAAGCUCAAGAUAUUUUUGAUGUUCACACAUCUGAAUAUCUGAUAAUGAUAGUGUUUUGCAUAGUUUAACUAUACCUAUAGAGUAACUUAUGAUACACCUUCAUUGUUUAGUAGGCUUAUGCAUGUAAAAAAUAUUGGGAAUUUUUCAGCUUAUAUUACUCUGUAUCUUCACUUUACGGAUUCAAUACGACUGUUCAACAACCUGUUUCUUCAGCUUGAUGAUUGACAGUUUGAAAAAAACGAAACCUGCUCACAAGAUCUGUCAUUUUGCAAUAUUUUGUACAUAUCUUUUGGCUUGAUAAGUAUUACUCUUUUAAUUGGAUGUGGUAACUGGUAAUGGUACACUCAGAUUUUACUCAAAGUGUUUGUAAGAACCACGAAGUGGUAAAACUUGGAUCUUCCGGUCUUUUAAGAUGUGGUGGUUGAUUGCAAGUGGUGGACAUAUGGAUUACACAUAGAAUGGAGGAAUUUCCACUUGGGGAGAUUAUACAUAUCAAACCGGAGACACUUGCAAUAAGUACAAGCAAGCAAUCAAGUUCAGGCUUUGCCAGUGGAAGAGGAGAGGGGGAGGCCUGGGAUCUGUCAAAAUUUCUAUUGUUCACCUACUGAGCGUACUUCGCAACCACUCAUCUUCAUUAUGUUUGCAUCAACUACUGCAAGAUAUGGCUACUUCUAACGAUGCAUGUUAUAGUGUUGCUGGUAUGAAGGAUUGUGUUUUGGGUCUUCAAGAGGUGCAUUUGAGUAGGAAAUUAGGUUAUUUGUGAGAAAUUAGAGAGGGUCACAAGGACAUUUAAUUCUGUAGCGAAACUGAUCUCUUCUUCAAAAUAUUAUUUGUCUUGCUUUGAAGGUGUUGAAGGAAUUGAAGUAUGAAGCAUUUUUUUUACCCGUAC